UACAGAGGGGGCAAGCGUUGUUCGGAAUUACUGGGCGUAAAGGGCGCGUAGGCGGCCUCUUAAGUCGAACGUGAAAUCCCCGGCUCAACCCGGGAACUGCGUCCGAUACUGGUGGGCUUGAAUCCGGGAGAGGGAUGCGGAAUUCCAGGUGUAGCGGUGAAAUGCGUAGAUAUCUGGAGGAACACCGGUGGCGAAGGCGGCAUCCUGGACCGGCAUUGACGCUGAGGCGCGAAAGCUAGGGGAGCAAACGGG
rnacentral:rRNA from 1 species